UACGAAGGGGGCUAGCGUUGUUCGGAAUUACUGGGCGUAAAGCGCGCGCAGGCGGUUUUUCAAGUCAGUGGUUAAAGCCCGGAGCUCAACUCCGGAACUGCCAUUGAAACUGUAAAACUUGAGGAUGAGAGAGGUGAGUGGAAUUCCCAGUGUAGAGGUGAAAUUCGUAGAUAUUGGGAAGAACACCGGUGGCGAAGGCGGCUCACUGGCUCAUAUCUGACGCUCAGGCGCGACAGCGUGGGGAUCAAACAGG
rnacentral:rRNA from 1 species